GCCGGGAUGGCGGAAUUGGUAGACGCAAGGGACUUAAAAUCCCUCGCCCUUUGGGGAAUGUGGGUUCGACUCCCACUCCCGGUA
rnacentral:tRNA from 1 species